UACGUAGGGUGCGAGCGUUAAUCGGAAUUACUGGGCGUAAAGCGUGCGCAGGCGGUUGUGCAAGACCGAUGUGAAAUCCCCGGGCUUUACCUGGGAAUUGCAUUUGUGACUGCGCGGCUAGAGUGUGUCAGAGGGGGGUAGAAUUCCACGUGUAGCAGUGAAAUGCGUAGAUAUGUGGAGGAAUACCGAUGGCGAAGGCAGCCACCUGGGAUAACACUGACGCUCAUGCACGAAAGCGUGGGGAGCAAACAGG
rnacentral:rRNA from 1 species